GGCGGGCCGUGGUGGCGGCGCGGUGCCGGGCGGCGCGCCGGGUUUGUCCGCUCCUCUUGGCUGUGCCGUGCGGUCGGAUCUCGGUGGGGUCCGGGGGCUCCCGGGGUCGGUGCCGCUCACGUACGGGACGGCGCCGCAGGGCCGGGAUCGGCGGCAGGGGGGUGAGCGGGGCCGGCGGAUGCCCGCACGCUGUGGCGGUGAGCGAUGCACAGAGCUUUAGGAUGUCUUUCCAAUGUCUGCUUCCUUCCCAGGUGGCACCCAGACCUCCCGUGUGCCUGCGGGAACGGCGAGAGCGGCUGCUGAGGCUGCGAGCGGUGGCUGAUGAGAGAAGCUGAAGAGAGGAGGCUCGGAAUUGAGCUGAUGGGUGAAUCGCAGCCUUGGGAUCUCUCUGCUCUUUGUUCAGCAAACACGUCUGGCCCCCGAGCUUUAACGGAGCGAUGUUGUUAUGUGGCACCAGACAAGGUAGGGAAUCUGUGGGACUUGGCGUGCUUGCAUUGAUGCUUCUCAGCCUGUUUUUGCUUUUCUGCAGCAGUGUAACAGCCUAGGCAGGGACGUGCCAACGAUCUUCUCGUGUCAGAUGGCGUCAGGGCUUAGGCUUGAUCCCAGCGGUGAAUACAAGUGAUUUAUCGUGAGGCUGCAUUUCUGAAUUCUCACUGCCCGCAGCGAAGCUUCUCAAGUUGUGCUCCUUUGUUGUCACACGUGCUUUGCUUGUCUGAUUUUCUCCAGAGCAGAGACCUUCAUCCUGUGCCUGCUUCACUUCCUGACCUCCUGUGGCAGCUGUAGGCACGAAGUGCUAACAGGAACACAGGAUCAGAUCCUUAGAUGCUUGGUUUUUUUUAUUAUCUGAACUUGGUAAGUGCAUGCUAAAUAGGAAGCUGCAGUUGAACUGCACAAAUUGGUCUUCUUACUGGCUGGCAAAGAGCUGAUUUUAUAAGUCAGAGAUCCAGAACUCCUUCAGAUUCUCAAGGGACGUUCCAAUGGAUACGAGGCCCUUAUUUAAGUAUUAUUAUUGGUAUACAGCUCCAGGUUUUUAUUACAUGUUCUGAUUUGCCUGUUCCAUAAAGUAAGAGCUCUGUAUUGUAACAUCAUAAAGUUAAUCUGUCUGUAUGUGUCUUAGGUCUCUCUCAGGUUGUUCUUCUUCAGUUACAAAGAAUAGGUGUAAGGAUUUUGUUAUCUGGGGUGUCUGUAUAACUUCUUUCUGAGAAUCCAGUCUAAAACGUGCUGCAGUCUUCUGAGAUAUUUACUGUCUUAUGUACAUUUUCUUGCUGAACUGAAAUCUGAAAGGAAGUUGUUGGGAAGUUGUAUGAAUCAUCUUAAAACAGACUAGGAAGAAGACUUUGUUUCCAGUGAAAUAAUGGCUAAUCUAAAAAAAGUCUUCUUAAAGAAAGGGAAGGUGCCACUAUCUUAAGCUUUGAAAUUAUUUUGUUUAUAGCUUUUAUAUAACUCCAUUUUGGAUAAAUGAAGAAAAAUGCAUUGUCUGAAAUAAUUGAAACAGCACAGCAGAAAGGACUUGUGUGCCUGUAAAAGGAAAUUUGAGUUGGCUGUCUUGUCUCCUGCAAAUCUAAAGGUUUAACAAACUUGCUACAUGACUUCCUGGCUCUCAUAUGCUUUAGUAUCUUAUUUGGAGGUUGGUCCUACUCCUGUUGUUUUCUUCCUUUUACAAGCCCUUUGUGAUAACACAAGCCCCAUUGGUUUAGCAUUGUGGCAGCCCAAUCUUGUAUUCAGAAAUUAUUGUAGAACAGAUCCAAAUCUGUAAAUGCAGUGUUGCUUUUAUGUUGGCUUUUGUAUGGUAAAUCAAUUCUUCCUGAUGAAGAAGCUUUCUGUUCAACUCAUUUCCUCUGAGCUUGAGUUCUCUAUGUUACCGUUGCCUUUCACUGAGCUUAGGCAGAAUUUUAAUUUGAGGAAGCUACUGAGUUUAACUUUUUUUUUUUUUUAAUGAGCACACUUUUAGAAGAAUGCAGGAUCUCUCCUGAAGUGCACGUAUUGUGCAUUUAUACAAUGUGAUAAAUCUCAAGCCCUGACUUGAGCCCUUUUUGCUCACCUGUGUACAGAUGCUUGAUUUCAUGCCAGCCACAGUUUUCUAUAAGACUCCAUUAUUAAACUGUAUCUGCACGCUGUGGCUGUGAAGUUCAAGGUCCUAUAGCAACAGAUUGCAUUGAAGACCAGAUGAGAAGACCUGAACAAUGGGGCGUUGUCAAUGUCCUUGACUACUUCUUAGAACAAAUCCUGACAGCUGGCUGCUCAGAGCUGUGUUCUCUGCUUUAUUGAUGUGCAGAAAAAAGACUGGUGAUGUUUCUUAGUGGUGCUUAAAAAACAAACAAUCCAAAGAUGGAAAGAUCACCACCUCCAACCACAAAGCUACCAGAGGAACUGUAGAGCAUGACAACUUCUAUAGCUACUGCUAUUAGAGUAUUUUGAUCUGAAGUGCCUGCAAAGGUUAGUGUGCUUUCCAUGUGGUUUUUUUUCCUUUAUUUUAUCCUUAAGUAGACAUUUGAUACCUUUCAGUUUGAGAAAACAGAAUGAAGUAUGUCCGUAUUCUUAUCCCACUUGAGAUUGUUGUCUGUGUAAGUCAGCAAUCCUUUGUGCAUGGGAAAAGGGAAAUACUUUUCAUGCUGUCUUCUGAAAACAUGGAUUGGCAGUUACUGUGCCAGUAGCCUUGUGCUGUCUGUGCUGCAGUUCUGCAGAGAGGUGGCACAUGGUGUCAUGAAGGUGAAGGCAAAUGCCUUAAUUUUCAUUCUGCUCAUUACUGCUAUGUAACAGCAUUCAAGAAAAUGGCUGUCACAGUUCAGAACACCUGGGCAGCUCUUCCUAUUUCAUGUUACUUAAGAUUUUCCUGAGGUCACGUUCCUCUUUUCUGCUCAUGCACACUAAAAAAUCCCCUGCAAACAGCCCUGCCUUCCAUAGUUAAUGAUUCCUUAGGGAGAAGCCCUUCUGUACUUUCUCUUGCGGGUCUCUUUACUCUGUCUGCCACAGUACUGAUGUUUUAAGAUGUAUUUUAGUAUAAUUCUGUAAUCUUCUUGUAUGGGUAGAAUUUGUUUUGGAAAUUUGGUUACUUUGUUUUGGAAAUAAUUUUUGUAUGUGAAAUUAAUUUGUUUGGACUAGAAAUCGCAGUUAUUUUUACUAAGAUGCAAUUAUUUUCUUCUGACUUCUGUUCUGUUUCAUCUCAGCACACGCAGCGGAGUUUACUCAGCCUGGUUAUACUUGAGGGUGAAUGGAUGGUUAGAAGGAGGUGGAAGCUCUGCAGCUCUGACAGAUGGCCUAGGAAACCUUACUGUCAUAAUGAAAGCUAUGACAAUCACUCUCAAUCUAGCAGGCCUCCCCUGCCUCAUUUCCAGCCUUCACCUCAGUGAGCAGCUUUCUACCUCAGAGUCUUUAUUACUGCAUUACUAGGAUGGUGGCUCACUGAUGACUGUCGACUGCUCUGAAAGGAUGCCUCCUAUUUAUUCCCAUAGAAAUGACAACGGAUACAUAGGGUGUUUGUAACUGUUGGUAACUGUUGGUUUCUAAUGCUCUGAAGGCAUCACAGACUGCUCGGGGCUUUUCUGAGUUGCAGGCCCUGCACUGCAGCCCUGCAGCACAGCCUCACAUCUGGUGACAGACUGAAGCUGGAGACUCCUGGCAGCAGAGGAUGCUCCUGCCCCACAGAAGGGCUCGCAGCUCCAAUGCAGCUCCAGCGCCCUCAGUGCUGGGUAGGAAGCAGAGGUGCACCCAACCUUAUUCCUUGUGCAGAUCGCUGUGUGAGGCCACCAGGAAAGGUUCACAAGGAAAUGCCUGAAGGCAUGUGGAGAAAUCCCCCAAAGCUCCAGAGGAGGUUCUGGUGGGUAAUGGUGAGGCUGCUUGGAUUCGCACAGAUGAAGAGAGGAGUAGAUGAACAAGAGGGACCAACACAGGAAAGAACUUUUGGAGGGAUGGAUGGAAGAAUGGAUUGAAGGAUCAUCGUGUGAAAGAAUGGAUGGAAAUAUAGGUGGAUGGAAGGAUCAGCUGAGGAAAUGAUUUCUGCCCCAAAGACCAGUGCCCCCAGGCCCUGUCCCCUUCAUGGGGACCAGUGGGGGUGGCCCUGGAGGUACAGAACCUGCAUCCCAUUGGCUCGAGCCACUUUCUCGGCUGCUUCAAACCUUGGAAACUUUGGAGGAGGCUCAGCUCCAUGGCUCCAGCAUGGCCCUGCUGGUGAAUCAACAGAAGAGAACCAUGUCUACGAGCCUGAAGGGAAUGCUGGAGAUGUGACUGGAGCAGGUGAUCCAGGAUCCGCUCUGAGCUCUGGGACUAAAACUCUGGUGGAUGGCAUGGGUCUGGAAAGAGGAAAGGAUGAACCCAAAUGAGGAAGAAACUCCCAGGCUCAUCCCGUCUCCUAAAGGAACUGCUGAAGGAAAUGGAGAAGGCAGCACAUGGUAGGUAUACUUCAGUGUGUUCACCGUGAAACAUGGGAAGCUGAGGUCUGACUUUCAUGUGUGGACAAGCUGUAGCCUGCACGGCAGGAAGGGAUCGCUCAGAGCCAUGCUGUGGCGGUGUUCCAUGUAACGCCUUGCAGGCAUGCAAGUAUUUGACAGCCUGUACGACUUCAUCACCAACUACUGGGAGAUGCUGCUGAGGUACAACAGACUUGAGAUAAGGCUGACAGAGCCGUGCCUCAGUCCAACACUCACAACAACACAGACUGGGUGCUGCGGAACAGCACCAGGGCGACAAGCCCAGCUCCAGUGCCAUCUACUUCAGGGCAGGAGGGAAGAUCCAGCACUGCCAAACAUGGCAAGAGGGUCGCGUUUCAUAAGGCACUUGACCAAGUGCACAAUGUUCAAGCUCAUUGCCCACAGUAAAAGUGUUUUUUUGUUCUGCACUAACAACAGAAUCCGUAUCUAAUUGCCACAGUUAAACCUUCCUCUUAUUUGUCGUCUUCAACCUGUAUGAGGACCUUUGGACAAGAUUUCAAAAAGGCAUAGAGGGACUUUACCAGUAUUCCAUGGUGGUAGGCAGCACCACCUCGUCAUCCUUAGGAAAAUCUGGAGCUCCUCAGCUGUUUGAGGUUUCAGAGUCUGGCUGUUUCCUUUCUUGCUGUUUCCUCGGGCUCAGGAUCCCGCAGCGAUUCCUUAGUGCAAAUGGGUUACUUGUGGCUGUGCCACUUGGGCUUUCUGUGGAGAAACUUGAUAGCCAUUAAGUCUGAGAAAGUUUAGUAAGUGUCAUGGAAUUAACUAGAUCAGUUUAUGCCCGUGAGAGGGGGCAGUAGGCCCUUG